UGUGCACCCAUCGCCAUUUUGAGAGAGGAAGGAGGCGAGUUCUCCAACUUCUUGAUGAAGCUCCAAUUGAAGAGGAAUUCUAGCCCAAAUCUCAUGCAUGGAUGCCAAUUCAUCACCAUCUAGUUACAAUAAUCACCAUGAUAGGUCAUCGGAAAGGCGGACUUGUACCUUCAGAGCUAGCAAGACAAGGGAAGCAACAUAUCAAGUAAGAAGCAUGAGGUUUAUAAGGAGACUGCAGGUACAUUAUUGUUGACUCACUAAAGAUUCGAUAUCGAGAUGGAAUGCUGGAAAUUUAGAAAGAUAAG